rnacentral:rRNA from 1 species
AUUGAACGCUGGCGGCAGGCUUAACACAUGCAAGUCGAGCGGAGAUGAGGUGCUUGCACCUUAUCUUAGCGGCGGACGGGUGAGUAAUGCUUAGGAAUCUGCCUAUUAGUGGGGGACAACAUUCCGAAAGGAAUGCUAAUACCGCAUACGCCCUACGGGGGAAAGCAGGGGAUCUUCGGACCUUGCGCUAAUAGAUGAGCCUAAGUCGGAUUAGCUAGUUGGUGGGGUAAAGGCCUACCAAGGCGACGAUCUGUAGCGGGUCUGAGAGGAUGAUCCGCCGCAGUGGGACUGAGACACGGCCCGGAAGCCGACGGGAGGCAGCAGGGGGGAAUAUUGGACAAUGGGCGGAAGCCUGAUCCAGCCAUGCCGCGUGUGUGAAGAAGGCCUUUUGGUUGUAAAGCACUUUAAGCGAGGAGGAGGCUACCUGGAUUAAUACUCUAGGAUAGUGGACGUUACUCGCAGAAUAAGCACCGGCUAACUCUGUGCCAGCAGCCGCCGUAACAC